rnacentral:rRNA from 1 species
GAUGAACGCUAGCGGCAGGCCUAAUACAUGCAAGUCGAGGGGUAAUUCUGCUUUCGGGCAGAAACGACCGGCGCACGGGUGCGUAACGCGUAUGCAACCUACCCACAACUGGGGGAUAGCCCGGAGAAAUCCGGAUUAAUACCCCAUAAUGCAGGAGUACCACAUGGUACUAUUAGCUAAAGAUUUAUCGGUUGUGGAUGGGCAUGCGUCUGAUUAGUUAGUUGGUGAGGUAACGGCUCACCAAGGCAACGAUCAGUAGGGGGUCUGAGAGGAUGAUCCCCCACACUGGUACUGAGAUACGGACCAG